AGUGAACGCUGGCGGUAGGCCUAACACAUGCAAGUCGAACGGCAGCACAGUAAGAGCUUGCUCUUACGGGUGGCGAGUGGCGGACGGGUGAGGAAUACAUCGGAAUCUACUUUUUCGUGGGGGAUAACGUAGGGAAACUUACGCUAAUACCGCAUACGACCUACGGGUGAAAGCAGGGGAUCUUCGGACCUUGCGCGAUUGAAUGAGCCGAUGUCGGAUUAGCUAGUUGGCGGGGUAAAGGCCCACCAAGGCGACGAUCCGUAGCUGGUCUGAGAGGAUGAUCAGCCACACUGGAACUGAGACACGGUCCAGGCUCCUACGGGAGGCAGCAGUGGGGAAUAUUGGACAAUGGGCGCAAGCCUGAUCCAGCCAUACCGCGUGGGUGAAGAAGGCCUUCGGGUUGUAAAGCCCUUUUGUUGGGAAAGAAAAGCAGCAGGUUAAUACCCCGCUGUUCUGACGGUACCCAAAGAAUAAGCACCGACUAACUUCGUG
rnacentral:rRNA from 1 species